UUCCUGGGAAUGGACCAUUUUUUCCUUUUCAUACCCAAAUGAAUCCUAACCCCUAAGAAGAAUUUAGAAAGUCUAAAAAUUAGGCAAAUGAGGAUCAGGGAAAACAAGUGAUUUUAUUAAUAAAUGGUCUUGUACUUGCAUGCUGGGGUGCUGAUCUUGGACACAUCCUGAGGAUAAUAGUCACCAUAUUUUAUGAGAGUGAAAACUGUCUCCCGGUGUAAAAAUGGGCAACUAUGGGUUAACUGUGUAACUAUGCUUGCUGAGAAAGAUACAUUGUAACCAGUCACUACUGUAAUACAAACUCACUAGAGCAAAGCAAUCCCAGAAAGCCCUGCCAAACUUCCUGCUCCCACCUUCACUGCCCCUUUGCCUAUGUAAUUGUGUUUAGAUUGAUGGCUGUUUUCCCAGUGAUUACGGUUGCUGUUUCCCCCUCCCAUAGAAACAUAAAGGUAUAAAAACGAGAGUAAACUUCUGUUUGACAUUUUUGAGGUGAUCUGAAUCCCUUGAAGCUGCCAGCGAUAAAGCUGAUUUUUGCUCCUACUUAUGUGGUCAGUGGUCUGUCCGGAGACCCUCAAGCGGUCACACUUCACUUCUAAGGGUCAUUUAAAUUUUAGAAAUAUCACUAGGCAGCUGGGUGGAAGAUAGAUGGAAGGAGAAGAUAUUGCAGUGCAGAUGGUACCAGCAGUUGAUUACAACAAUCAGAGAAGGAACGGCAUUUCAAUCCAAUUCAACAAAUCCUGUGAUCCUACUGGAUGCACAGUACAGGAGCAGGAAGAUGAGUUUGACAUAGUUUGUUUCCAGAGGUUAUUAACAUAAAGAUGAGAAGCUGAAAGCAGAAAGAAGUGAAGAAUUUCACCUAUGGCUACUCAGAAGAGGACCUGGGAUGAAAACCAGCCUGACCCUGGGCUCAUCUGUUGACUCUAGGGUGUCCUGGAAUCAAUCACCUAGGAUACUGAGGGAUGAUUGUAUUGGCUUUAAGAAACCCAAAGCAAGACAUUCUUCAUCAGAAAGAAAGAAAGAAAGAAAGAAGAAGGGUAGCUAUCUCUAAAUGUAGAGUUGGUAAAAUGCUUAGUAACAUCAAAAAGAAGACAUUCUUCAUCUUUAAAUUGAGGGCAAUGAUAGUCUUGCAAUGAACAUUAGCGAGAUUGUGAAGUGUCAGUCACACGGCCUGGUCUAAGUGAAUGAUAAUUUAUAUGCAUUAUGAUACAGUUAUCGAUUAUUUUAUUAAAGUAUAUUUCUUCACUAUC